rnacentral:rRNA from 1 species
GAUGAACGCUAGCUACAGGCUUAACACAUGCAAGUCGAGGGGAAACGAUAUUGGAAGCUUGCUUCCGAUAGGCGUCGACCGGCGCACGGGUGAGUAACGCGUAUCCAACCUGCCCACCACUUGGGGAUAACCUUGCGAAAGUAAGACUAAUACCCAAUGACGUCCAUAGAAGACAUCUGAAAUGGAUUAAAGAUUUAUCGGUGAUGGAUGGGGAUGCGUCUGAUUAGCUUGUUGGCGGGGUAACGGCCCACCAAGGCGACGAUCAGUAGGGGUGCUGAGAGGAAGGUCCCCCACAUUGGAACUGAGACACGGUCCAAACUCCUACGAGAGGCAGCAGUGGGGAAUAUUGGUCAAUGGGCGAGAGCCUGGACCAGCCAAAUAGCGUGCAGGAUGACGGCCCUAUGGGUCGUAAACUGCUUUUAUAAGGGAAUAAAGUGAGUCUCGUGAGGCUUUUUGCAUGUACCUUAUGAAUAAGGACCGGCUAAUUCCGUGCCAGCAGCCGCCGUAA